rnacentral:rRNA from 1 species
CGUAGGUGGCAAGCGUUGUCCGGAUUUAUUGGGUUUAAAGGGUGCGUAGGCGGUCUAUUAAGUCAGUGCUGAAAUACUCCAGCUUAACUGGAGGGGUGGCAUUGAUACUGAUGGACUUGAGUACAGAUGAGGUAGGCGGAAUUGACGGUGUAGCGGUGAAAUGCAUAGAUAUCGUCAAGAACACCGAUAGCGAAGGCAGCUUACUGGGCUGUAACUGACGCUGAUGCACGAAAGUGUGGGGAUCAAACAGGAUUAGAUACCCUGGUAGUCCACACUGUAAACGUUGAUUACUCGCUGUUUGCGAUACACAGCAAGCGGCUUAGCGAAAGCGAUAAGUAAUCCACCUGGGGAGUACGCCGGCAACGGUG